rnacentral:tRNA from 1 species
GGGGAUUUAGCUCAGUGGUAGAGCGCUUGCUCCAAAAAAAAAAAAAAAAAGAAUACUGACUGCCCUUCCGGAGGUCCUGGGUUCAAUUCCCAGCAACCACA